CAGGGCUGCAGGGAGAGCAAGCCGGCUGAGACUCUACACUGAGAACCCCCUCCGUCCCAAACUGUCGUGACCAUGGGCACGGACCCGCACGCCAGAGGGGGGGACGGAACGGUCCCUCCUCGCCUCUGCUUUCUGAUUCCUGAUAAACCGAUACAAACACUACAGCGAGUUCUCAACUUGUGACUCUUGCCAUGAAAACCAGAUGACAGAAGCAGGCGUCUGUUGGGCACAGUAAGAAGUCCUCACACCCCCACCCCGGGGGCCCCUACCUUGCUGUGGUGCUUUGGGUAGAAGAUCCAGCUUCGGCAAAACCCUGCCUCCUUCAUCUAUCUGCACCCUCCAAAUGACGACCAGCUCGAACCUGAAAGAGGGUGCAGAAAACCUGCAGUGCGGAGCCUGAACCGAUGAAGUAGUCUGAAAGGCUUCGGCAGUGAUGGGAGGCCGGACCCACCCCGUGGCCCAGGAAUUUCACUUCCAGCCACAGAAGCCUGGGUCCUCACGUGUCCGGGGACAUGGACAGGAGCGUGAGAACCAGGGGAAAACGACGGAUGACCCCAGUGCCCAAGACCCGAAGAAGGCAGAAAUACAGCUGAUGGAGUAGAACCACCGAGAGUGAGCUGCACACAGCUCCACACGUAAGCAGAAGCUCACUUUGGGUAUAGUGCCGAGUAACACAGGCAAGUCUGAGAGGCCCACAGAAUUGCAGCACCAUCUUCAGGUGUGAAAACAAAGCACCUCCAGGCAUUCUGACGCCGACCGUGCACACAGACCCCAGGGAGUCCUCCCUUCACCCAGCGCUUGCUGCCUCCCGGCCUUUUCUGAGGCCAGCCCAUCAAGACAGCUCCAGCCCUUCCCGGCCUCCCCCGGGCUCCCUCCAGCCCUGCAGCGAGCCCAGCAACACUGGCCGUUGCCCCACGUCCCACACCCUGCUCUCCUCCCCGCAGCUGCACGGCCAGCACCGCCCACAGGCAUCUCAAGGUGCCUGGAAGGUAGCGGACAUUCGUUUUCUAAUCCUCGUUUUUAACAGCAAGCAGCCGCCUGGGUGUUGGGGAGCUGGGCCUGCAGGGCAUCCGCACUCACCCUGGCUGGCAGGCGCUCCGGACCACCAUGCAGCUGGAGGCGGCCCCCUCCGGGAGGUGCACGGCUGCUGGGUACUUCUCCUGUGGGAGAGGAAGCGGGUACAGAAAAGUCAGUGACAGAACAGAAGCCAGGAGCCCUCACGAAGGUCUUCAGGUUGCGGGUGCGGGUAGUUGGGCAGCAUGGGGCCCUGGCGGAGACAGGGAAACUGAAGGCUCCACAAAAACCUGCUCUGGGCUCCUUUUCCUGCUUCUCUUGUUGUUAGGACCUGCACCCCCAAUUUAUACAGGCCUCAAUGUAGAUGCUGUCUGCCCUCCUCAUAAGGGACCAGGACUCAGUGGUUUCUCUAGAAGAGACCACAUCAAAGGCAGGACCAGGUGAGAAGGACUGGAAGCCAUCAUGUGGGUAUUCCAGACCCCCAGUGCUAGACACCCCGGCACCAAGGCGUCCUGGUUCCGAGGAGUAACACCUGGGCCCUCGUCUCUGCUCUCACGGUUCCUGGAUGCCUCAGGGGACGUGUGCACCAGACCACCGUCCCCAGUAAAGCCCCCCAGGCCCCAAACAAAGACGAGACUCCCUCCUUUCCUUUCCAUGUCUCCUGGAUGCUCUGUCUGUAUCUUUCUUUCUAAGUUCAGUAAACUCCGCUCUCACCUCCCGCUGGCUGGCUCACGUUUGAUUUCCAUCUUGCGCACAGCCAGGGCCCCUCUUGGCUGGUCCUGCAGGAGCGCCUCUGGGGUCUCAGACCCGGCCACCCCACUCCUGCCUCCUGUGUUCACUGGCGCUGCCUGUUCUAGAUCUUUCCACCGCCCCACGGCCCUCAUGUGCCCACACCCUCUACCCUCUACCUCUCAGUGUUAGCAGGUUAGAGAAGAGCUUCAUCCCGAUUUCACCUGUUUGUCCCCCAGGGCUCUCCGGCCUUUGGCUACACUGCCUCCCUAGACCCCUCUGCUCUGGGGUGGCCCCUCGGUCUGUCCUGUUCUCGAGACCUGGGUGGCCUGAGAAGACCAGUCACACAUGCUCUGCAGUGCUCCUUGCAACUCCCCAAGGUGAUGCGCGCCCUGACGACCGGUGCUGUCUGCCGGGAUGUUCACUGCUGUUCUCUAGAGCUUUAGCAUUUGGCCUUAAAACCCUUCAAACUGCGGCCCCUGGGCAGGCCCCUGCCAUGGUGUCCAUCCUCACACUGGCCGCCCAAUGGCUCCUGCCCAUCUGCAUGUCGGGAGCAGGGCCACUGGGGGCCCCCGUGACCUCUCUGUCAGUCUCCCCUGGCUAACAGGGUCUUGGGGAGCAUGCUCUGCCAAGCCAGCUUCACGAGGAGAUCACAUGCCAUUUCAGAGCCAAAGGUAUUCUCUCUCAAAGAGGGAGAUGGGGCGCCUGGGUGGCUCAGUUGGUUAAGCGACUGCCUUCGGCUCAGGUCAUGAUCCUGGAGUCCCGGGAUCGAGUCCCGCAUCGGGCUCUCUGCUCGGCAGGGAGUCUGCUUCUCCCUCUGCCCCUCCCCCUCUCAUGCUCUCUCUCAAAUAAAUAAAUAAAAAAAAUCUUUAAAAAAAAAAAAAAGAGGGAGAUGAAGUGGGAUUUCAUAGAUUCCCAGGCUUGCAACCCUAAGGUAGGGUUGGCUUUCCCCUCCGCCUAAUAUUGUAGAUAAAUCUGUCUUCCUAUUCCUCGCAGCAGAACUGACACCUGAACACACACCUGACUUUGAGGUCUGCUCUCCAGGGAGCGGACUGUAGGGCUGGGGGACGGCAGUGAGCCUGUGGGCUCUGGGGCAGCGUCUGAGACACAUCUCCUCUCCCUCCUCCCGCCGUGCCUGGUGUAGAAACAAGACCCCUGGGCUGACGCUGAGGUCAGCUGCGAGCCCCGCCGUGUCCCACAUGGAGCCUCACGGGACAGAGCGGCAGGGCUAGCGCUGUGGGUGGCAGAACCCGGGGCUUCAGAGGACAGGACCUUCCUGAGGACACAAGUACUCGGUGGACAGAACCCCAUCAGCCCCAAGGAGGAGGUCUUGUAGGGACAAAGACGUCUAAAGGGCUAGUGCGAAGACCAGCCUCUGCUGCCAGCGUGAGGCCCGUGCUCCCAGACCUGCAUGUGAGAGACGCCAACAGAGCAAGAUCGCAUCCAAACAUCAAGCCGUUCUGACCAAGUGCUGGGCUCGGCCUGGUUUAGGCUUACAGACAGUUUCUAACUUCAGCCAGUGUGUGUGAGCAAAUGUGUACCUGAGUGUUUUAAAUGGAAAGUGCUGGCUGACUUUUAAACCUCAAGCUCUUCUAAAUUAAUAACAGCUGUAGCUGAGCCGCACGGAGGGACACGUGAGCACGGCAGGGCAGCUCCCAGGCUGUGGGGCGGCCGCCUGAGGCCGGGGCCGGCUCCAGCGUGGGGCCCAGGGGUGCACACGUGCUGCAGGCUCAGCCUCCAGGCGGACCUCACAGCCUGGCCAGGCCUCCUCACAAGCAAAAGGAGGGUUUAGAUAAGAAGCGUUCACUAAAAGAUAUACUUCCUCUAGUUUAAAAACAAACAGGGCGCCUGGGUGGCUCAGUCAUUAAGCGGCUGCCUUCAGCUCAGGUCAUGAUCCUGGAGUCCCAGGAUCGAGUCCCGCAUCGGGCUCCCUGCUCGGCGGGGAGUCUGCUUCUCCCUCUGACCCUCCCCCCUCUCAUGCUCUCUCUCUCUCAUUCUUUCUAAUAAAAUCUUAACAAACAAACAGAAAACAAGUAGAAAUGCUGACGUUAGGAAGAGAUCUGGAGAGCUCUUUGGGGGUGCGGUAAGUCGCCUUUUACACAAGGUAGUGACGCGGCCCGUUAUCGGCUCCUCGCCCUCCGCGCACAGCACACACCGCAGGGGGGAGAGCACAGAGCAGAGCCCACGGGCCAGCAGCGUGCGGGUGGUGCUGCGGGAGAACAGAGACGCUGUGACGUGGGACGCAGCUCUGAACGCAGACGAGCACGUUUUAGCAGUGGUUAGAAGUCUUGCAUACGACUCUAUCUGAUGGGAGGUAUCGUUGGGAAGCCGGGGAACGAGCUUUGGGAUGUGGGUGCUCUGCACAUGCGGGGCGUUAGCCCUCCCCAGGAAGCCUGUCCUAAGUGGUGAUUCAACAGAGGUGUUCACUCAGCUGCUUGCCACACGCCUCGGGGUCUGCAUUCAAGAACUUCCCCGGUGUCUGUGCGGCAGAAGUGGCGGCCGGGGGGACGCUGGUUUGGGGUCAGACCCUUUCACUCCGGAGAUUGGCUUUGCUGUUGAAGUGGCUGCUGGUCCAAAGGGAACAGAAUUUGUAAGAGCAUUGGAGAAAAACCAGCCUUGCGUUUUCGUGCCCGUGAUACCAGCCCAGUGCCGAAGGGAAAGGGACCAGGCACCCUGCCUGCCUCCCACUCACACGAAUGGGAAACCUUGCAUUCUGAGCUUAAAUGCACUCCUGGGUGUCCACAGUUAAUUCAUCUUGACUUUAUGUCUGGCUGAUUCAAUGAUUUUUUUAAAAAAUUGAGAUAAAAUUCACAUAACACUCCUUUAAAGUGUAUAUAAUUCAGGGCUUUUAGUGUAUUCACAAGGUCGUACAUCAUCUCUGCAGUCCAGUGUGGAAGCCCUGCUCUUUAGCUACUGCCCCUUCACCCCUCUGUGCCCCCCAGGCAUCAGGCAGCGAGCAUGGACAGACAGUCCACAGAUGUCCCUGUUCUGGGCAUUUCAGACAAACAGAAUCAUUCGAGAUGUGUCUUGGGUCACUGGCCUCUUUGACUUGCACGUUUUCAGGGUGUGAGCACGCGGUAGCCGACCUCCAUGCUCACUCCUUUGCGCGGCUGAGUAACACCCCACUGUUCAUCCAUUCGUCAGCUGAUGGGCACGUGGGGGUUCUUUGCUUUUUGGCUACCGGAAACAAUGCUGCUGUGAACACGGGUGGGCACAUGCGUUCUCCUUCCUCAUGGUUAUGCGCCUGGGAGCAGCACCACUGAGAUUUAUGGAAAUCCACGUAACCAUGGAGGAACUGCCCAACUGCUGCCCAUGGCGGCCGCCCGCCUUCAUGAUUCCAUCAGCAUUGUCUGAGGGUCCUGAUUUCUCUGUCUCCUUGCUGACAACGUUGGUCAUCACCCCCUCUUAGAAACUGUUCUUGUCCUCCUGGUGGGUGUGAGGUGGAAGGUCACUGUGGAUUUGCAUUUCCCUGAUUUUCUCUGAUGGCCAUGGAUGCUGAGCCUCUUCACAUGUGUUCAUUCAUCUGCACACCUCCUCUGGAGAAAUGUGUGUUCAGAUCCUUUGCCUAAUUUUUAAACUGGGCUGUUUUUCUUUUUAUUAUCGAAUUAUAAUAGUUCUUUAUAUAGUCUGGAUACAAA